ACCUGCAAGAGGUGGAUGACUUGCUGGGUGAGAUAUUAAGAUACAGUGGCUUCAUCCAACUGGAGCACCAGAAAAACGAUAUUUUCAGAAAGCUGGAUGGCAGCAAGACCACAGCUGGUUAACACUGCAGUUGCAAUAGAAAAUGUGGAAGCCCACAUGUGCCAACAGUGUUCGAGCAAUUCCGCUGUUGUCCGUUGCCGUGAUUGCCGUCCACGCCCCUUCUUCUGUGCCGAAUGUGAUGUCAGCAUGCACACCAGACACCCCCUCCACAACAGAGAUGGCAGUACUUCGGGAUUCUUCCAGCCAUUGCCCCCAACAACUUAUUAUCAGAACUUCCCCUGUGGUAAGUUCUGAUUUGUGAGUGUACAAAAUAUAUUUUCUAGCUUGACUGAACAUUUAGCUUCUUCGUGUUAACUUUAAUACUUAUCAGCAGUGUGCUUCACAUUCUUCAAGUCUUCUUAAUUUUCUACUGUAAAGUUCAUUCUAUUUUUUGUCAGAAAUCCGUCACUUUACAAUGUUGUAUAACCCAGUCAAGAAAAAUUAUUAUUAAUCCACAUUUUCUUUUUUCACUGCGUUAUGUACCUGUGGAGAUCCCUGAAAAAAUAUGUGGUUGUCCAACAGACUCAUUAAGGAUCAAACCAGGAAAAUCUGUGGCUGUGAUCACAAUGAAUGGUAAAAAUGUGAAGAAAAUUAGUCCUCUUUGAAAAGUUUGUUCUUAAUAAUAUCUAUCCCAUCUCACAAACUCCCAAAUGUUUGUCAUAGCUUUGUAUGAUAUCUUAACAUGAGUAUUGAGUAAUGCAUUUAGACAGUGAUGUCGACACAACUAAAUGUUUAUUAAAAAUGUUUGUCAUAGUUUUAUUUUCUGUGAUUCCAGUUUCAUUACACGUAAUGAAUUUAGAAUAUACAUACAGUACGUUACAUAACUUUGACAUUUCUGUAUGAUAACUCCUUCUUUUGACUGGUCUUAUGAAAUCUAAUAUUUUGAGGUACUACAUUUUUGAUCCUCACCUUGGUGUACUCAUCUAAAUUAAAACAUAACAAGGCUUGGUGUUUUCCAUGAUAUUUGUUUUUAGAUGCAUGUGUAUUUUUGUCCUGCCCAGCUCCCAGCCUCAUAUGGAUGUGCAGAACAUCAUUGUUUUGUUUUGUAUUGAGAAAUGCACAACAUACUCUUAAGAAAGACUAUUCGAUAAUUAAGUGUGUGAAAAUUUACAUAACAAUGUUUUUUGUUUUUUUCAAGGACGACAUGAGCUCAGCAUGCCAGAGUUGGCUUGCAGUGCAUGCAAAGCCACUUGGACUGCUGGAGUUGAGGAAGUUCUUAGGUGUGACUACUGGCCAGCUACACCUCACUUUGCCACAAUCUGUGAAACAGAUGUUUUCUUCUCAUUUGAAGAAUUGAAAAUGGCUGCACCUGGACUGUCCUGUCAGGCAUUUUUAAAAAUGCUCGAUCAGCGAACUGUCCGCUUUGGGCGUGUGAGUAUUGAAGUUAUUUGUUGUUUUUGACCAAUUUAUAUUGUGCAUAGAAAUGCUGUGUCCUUAUUUUACAAACUUUGUUGUAUUUUUUUUAAAUAUCAUUAGUUCAAGAAGUCCUUUUUGUGAUAGACAGGGAAAAUCUCAGGCGAUAGCUUCUUGAAAAGCUUCUUCGAGUGGGAGGCUAUGAGAUAUGAGGUGGACAGCCUCUGCAAGGAGGAGCCCUUCACCUGUUGAGCAUGCAGCCUGGAUAUGCUUGCGGUUUCUGUGGAUGGAAACCGCAAGCAUUACCGCUUCAAAAACGCAGUACAUUCAAAUAUUCAUGAUGUCAGUGUUUUUCUAAUAACAAAAAAAUAAGUCUCUUAAUGUCUACAAAUUAACCUUAGAAUUCAAGAUAUCAUGAACCGUCCCUUUGUUCUAUUUAGAUCUGAGGAGCAGGCCAUUUUCAAUGACGUCUUCAUAGCAAAGGAUGAAGACGUCACACGAUUUGUCAACCAUGUUCACAGCACAACAAAACAUGUAAUUGAAGAUUAUAUUUAUAGAUGCAAGAAUACAAUGCUGACCUAUUAAAGAUUAUUGAUAUGAACCGUAAGUUUCUAAACCAUUUUCAUCAAUCAAUUGUUAUAUUGUAGGUCUCCGGAAGAGGUGUUUGUGGCGAGGAAUGGUCGGCGGCUCGAGAGACGUCCCAAAAAUCAGCCAGCAAACUGGACGAGGAGGGACUGGAGCUGGCUGUUUGUCGUCAUGGAGUCCUCCUCUGUGCCCUCAACAUGUACAGGGGAGAAAUCUUUGCCUGUCCCCUUUUUCUCCAGGAAAAGCUGGCCAGUAGUAGGCCUACAUUCUUUUGCAUGGAUGUAGCCUGCAAGUACUUGCCAUGCCUGCAGAAAAUCAUCAAAAGCUGCCCCGAGUUUCAACAUCUGCUGGAAAUGAAGCCCUUCCUCUCGGUGUUUCAUGUGAAAACCUUCAUGUCAACAUUAACAAAUUAUAACAUGCCUUGUCUUUUAAUAUGUUUUAAACAGAUCAAAUGGAGUGGAGCAUUACUGGAGGGGGCUGGGUUAACACUUGGGGAGGAGGUGGAACAAGUGAAUGCCUUCGUCUCUAGGAUAGCAGUUACGACAAAGCACAUGUCAAAAGCAGGGGUGACAACAUGUUAACACUCAUGGCCAUGCGGUGGAAUGAGCAGAAGAUGAAGAACUUGGCCACCUACCUGUCCCGCAGAUAUUUAAAAACCACAAAAGCUCUCGACAUGAAGACGAUGGAAGUGGAGUCGAUGAAGGCCGAGUUGGCAGCGACCGAUGGGCAAUUCGAGGACUGGGUCAGGGAUGUGAAGGAUUGGGCAGAAAGUGAGUAAAUUAUUAGUUGUUGUUUUUCAGAGUU